rnacentral:rRNA from 1 species
GACGAACGCUGGCGGCGUGCUUAACACAUGCAAGUCGAACGGUGAAGCGCCUUCCUUUUUGGUGGGUGUGGAUGAGUGGCGAACGGGUGAGUAACACGUGAGUAACCUGCCCCCUUCUUCUGGAUAACCGCAUGAAAGUGUGGCUAAUACGGGAUAUUCUGGUUCUGUCGCAUGAUGGGUCUGGGAAAGAUGUUGUUUCGGUGGGGGAUGGGCUCGCGGCCUAUCAGCUUGUUGGUGGGGUGAUGGCCUACCAAGGCGGUGACGGGUAGCCGGCCUGAGAGGGUGGACGGUCACACUGGGAGUGAGACACGGUCCAGACUCCUACGGGAGGCAGAAGUGGGGAAUAUUGCACAAUGGGCGCAAGCCUGAUGCAGCGACGCCGCGUGAGGGAUGGAGGCCUUCGGGUUGUGAACCUCUUUCGCCAGUGAAGCAGGCCUGCCUCGUUUGUGGGCGGGUUGACAGUAGCUGGAGAAGAAGCGCCGGCUAACUACGUG